CCUACAGCCCUUGAGGAGGAACUAAAGUGGCUGCAAAAUGAUGAGCCCCACCUCCAGCGCCUCCCUCGAGUGACCGGUUGGCCCUCGGCGCCCUGACUGUGAGAAGGAGCCUUUCUUUGUCCUGCUUGCACACCUGUUAAUGGCGUGGAUGCAUGGAUUCCUGUUUCCAGAGGUGGACAGCUGCGCCAAACAGAGUUCUGCUUAAAACGUGCUGCUUGGGGUUCUCUGGUGGCUCAGCAGUAAAGAAUCUGUCUGCCAAUGCAGACGAUAACGCGUUCAAUCCCCAGUCCGGGAAGAUCCCACAUGCCGUGAAGCAACUAAGCCCCAUGAGCCACAACUACUGAGCCCUAGAGCCCUUGAUCCCGAGCUCUGCAACAAGAGAAGCCACUGCAAUGAGAAGCCUUCACACCAAAACUAGAGAGCAGCCCCUGCUUGAUGCAACUAGAGAAAGCCUGAGCCCAGCAACAAAGACCAGCAGAGCCAAAACUCAAAAAAAAAUUAUUAAAAAAAAAGUGAUGCGUGGACACACCAAGCAGCUGCCCAUUUGUACCGCAGAACAUCAGACCCCUCCCAAGGGCGCCAAAAGGAACCUUGGUGGAAAGGAAAUGCUCUGAGGAGGGGAGGACGCGCGAGUGAUAAAUGCUGCCAUGCGUUUCCUUUCAUAG
ensembl:lncRNA